rnacentral:rRNA from 1 species
CCUACGGGAGGCAGCAGUGGGGAAUAUUGCACAAUGGGGGAAACCCUGAUGCAGCGACGCCGCGUGAGUGAAGAAGUAUUUCGGUACGUAAAGCUCUAUCAGCAGGGAAGAAAAUGACGGUACCUGUCUAAGAAGCCCCGGCUAACUACGUGCCAGCAGCCGCGGUAAUACGUAGGGGGCAAGCGUUAUCCGGAUUUACUGGGUGUAAAGGGAGCGUAGACGGGAGCGCAUGUCUGAAGGGAAAUCCCAUGGCGUAACCAUGGAACUGCUUUGGAAACUGUGCAGCUGGAGUGCAGGAGAGGUAAGCGGAAUUCCGAGUGUAGCGGUGAAAUGCGUAGAUAUUAGGAGGAACACCAGUGGCGGAGGCGGCUUACUGGACGGUAACUGACGUUGAGGCUCGAAAGCGUGGGGAGCAAACAGGAUUAGAUACCCUAGUAGUC